rnacentral:rRNA from 2 species
CCUACGGGGGGCUGCAGUGGGGAAUAUUGCGCAAUGGGCGAAAGCCUGACGCAGCAACGCCGCGUGAGUGAAGAAGGCCUUCGGGUUGUAAAGCUCUGUCAUCCUGGACGAAACCUCAAAGGUAAAUAGCCUACGAGAUGACGGUACAGGAGAAGGAAGCCCCGGCUAACUACGUGCCAGCAGCCGCGGUAAAACGUAGGGGGCGAGCGUUGUCCGGAAUUACUGGGCGUAAAGCGCGUGUAGGCGGAAAUUUAAGUCAGGUGUGAAACCUCGGGGCUCAACCCCGAGCCUGCAUCUGAAACUGGGUUUCUUGAGGGUGGGAGAGGAAAGUGGAAUUCCUAGUGUAGCGGUGAAAUGCGUAGAUAUUAGGAGGAACACCAGUGGCGAAGGCGACUUUCUGGACCAUACCUGACGCUGAGACGCGAAAGCGUGGGGAGCAAACAGGAUUAGAUACCCUUGUAGUC